GCCAUCAGGUGCUGGGUGACAUCUGGAUUGAUGUGGGAUGAAAGAGAGGUGCCUGGAGGCUGGGAAUCACCAAGAGGAAUGGAACCACCGUCUUGCAGAAUGUUCCACAGAACAAAUGGACCUGUGUGCUAGUCCUCAACCAACUCUACAUCUGUAGAUUCUACACCUUGACCACAGUUACCACCAAUUUGGAUUUGGCUUUGCAUUUUGUUUCCCCUCUGCAAAGGGCUGCAGAAAUGCCAACAAACCAAUGGACCUGAUCUUGGAUGAGGCCAAAGUCUGGAACAGAAGAUCCUGAUUCACUUAAUUUCCCUGGGGAUUGGAAAGACUUCAUUGUUGAAAAUAGUUCUAAAAAGUACAUGGCCACAGAGAUGACUACCAAACAACCAAGCCAAUCAAGGAAGAGGCCAAUGCAGGAGAGAAGAGGACUGAGAAGAGAACACACUGACCUCAGCAAUUUCUGUGGCCAUGUCAGAGGGCACCAGGAAGGUUACCUGAGCCCAUAAGACUGACUGGGAUAAGGUUCAGGAAAAGAGGGACAGGAAAGGAAAAAUUUGGUUUAACUAAAUCUAAGGCUCACUUAAAACUGUUUUGGUAAGUUUCCAAUUAUGCUUUUUAACAGAGCAAAUUUUACAAUCUUCUAAAUGUAAAAGUUGGAAAGACUCUACAAAUGAAAACAAUCUGGUGACACCUAAAGCCUAAAAUAAGCCCCAAAUGAUCUUAAUUAUUUAACUACCUCAGGCUAAGUGAGGUCGAAUACUUUACAAAGUGAAAUCUGAAUCAACCAUCUUUUCACUCACGCAGAGAACGCAGAAAGUGUCAUUAGGAAAAACUGGGCUUACAUCUCAGAUGCACCACAUCUCAACUGUGUGGUCACAACCAGUAGCUGAACAUUUCAGGAUCUGACUGUGGUCAUCUGUAAAAUGGGAACAAGGUCUGCUUGGGCUCUCUCCGAAGACUGGAUUAGAGCUUCCACAAGUUAACUUGA
rnacentral:lncRNA from 1 species